rnacentral:SRP_RNA from 1 species
GCCAGGCGUGGUGGCGGGCGCCUGUAAUCCCAACUACUUGGGAGGCUGAGGCAGGAGGAUCACUUGAACCCAGGAGGCGGAGGUUGCAGUGAGCCGAUAUCGUGCCACUACACUCCAGCCUGGGCGACAGAGUGAGACUCUGUCUCAA